AUGAACGCUAGCUACAGGCUUAACACAUGCAAGUCGAGGGGCAGCAUGAACUUAGCUUGCUAAGUUUGAUGGCGACCGGCGCACGGGUGAGUAACACGUAUCCAACCUUCCGUUUACUCAGGGAUAGCCUUUCGAAAGAAAGAUUAAUACCUGAUAGUAUGGUGAGAUUGCAUGAUAGCACCAUUAAAGAUUUAUUGGUAAACGAUGGGGAUGCGUUCCAUUAGGUAGUAGGCGGGGUAACGGCCCACCUAGCCGACGAUGGAUAGGGGUUCUGAGAGGAAGGUCCCCCACAUUGGAACUGAGACACGGUCCAAACUCCUACGGGAGGCAGCAGUGAGGAAUAUUGGUCAAUGGGCGAGAGCCUGAACCAGCCAAGUAGCGUGAAGGAUGAAGGUCCUACGGAUUGUAAACUUCUUUUAUACGGGAAUAAAGUAUCCUACGUGUAGGAUUUUGUAUGUACCGUAUGAAUAAGCAUCGGCUAACUCCGUGCCAGCAGCCGCGGUAAUACGGAGGAUGCGAGCGUUAUCCGGAUUUAUUGGGUUUAAAGGGAGCGCAGACGGGAGAUUAAGUCAGUUGUGAAAGUUUGCGGCUCAACCGUAAAAUUGCAGUUGAUACUGGUUUCCUUGAGUGCAGUUGAGGCAGGCGGAAUUCGUGGUGUAGCGGUGAAAUGCUUAGAUAUCACGAAGAACCCCGAUUGCGAAGGCAGCUUGCUAAACUGUAACUGACGUUCAUGCUCGAAAGUGUGGGUAUCAAACAGGAUUAGAUACCCUGGUAGUCCACACGGUAAACGAUGGAUACUCGCUGUUGGCGAUAUACUGUCAGCGGCCAAGCGAAAGCAUUAAGUAUCCCACCUGGGGAGUACGCCGGCAACGGUGAAACUCAAAGGAAUUGACGGGGGCCCGCACAAGCGGUGGAGCAUGUGGUUUAAUUCGAAGCAACGCGAAGAACCUUACCAGGUCUUGACAUCGAUCUAAAGGCUCCAGAGAUGGAGAGAUAGCUAUAGAGAAGACAGGUGGUGCAUGGUUGUCGUCAGCUCGUGCCGUGAGGUGUCGGCUUAAGUGCCAUAACGAGCGCAACCCUCGUGGUCAGUUACUAACAGGUUAAGCUGAGGACUCUGGCCAGACUGCCAUCGUAAGAUGUGAGGAAGGUGGGGAUGACGUCAAAUCAGCACGGCCCUUACGUCCGGGGCUACACACGUGUUACAAUGGGAGGUACAGAAGGCCGCUACCCGGCGACGGGAUGCCAAUCCCCAAAACCUCUCUCAGUUCGGACUGGAGUCUGCAACCCGACUCCACGAAGCUGGAUUCGCUAGUAAUCGCGCAUCAGCCACGGCGCGGUGAAUACGUUCCCGGGCCUUGUACACACCGCCCGUCAAGCCAUGAAAGCCGGGGGUACCUGAAGUGCGUAACCGCAAGGAGCGCCCUAGGGUAAAACCGGUAAUUGGGGCU
rnacentral:rRNA from 1 species